rfam:Gossypium raimondii chromosome 10, whole genome shotgun sequence.
GGGCUUGUAGCUCAGAGCAUUAGAGCACAUGGUUACAAACCAUGGUGUCGAGGGUUGAAAUCCCUCCUUGCCCA